UCCAACGAGGAAAACGAUGAAUAAUAAUUUUUUAGUGUAAAACAGGAAACGCAAUUAUCAGUGAGGGCAAUAUUGGAGGAAAAAAAUCAUUAAACCCCUCUUUAGCAUUUCAAAUGCCAACAUUUAGCCAACGAGACCUCUAAAUGCUGAGCCAAACACCUAUUUUUUUUUUCCAAUGAGCUUUAGGGGCUUAAAGUCUCUUGGAAAUGCUAAAUCAAACGGGACCUUAAUAACUAAUGUUCUCGGGAACAUCAAUGGAAAGCAAUAUCUAAGUCAACUGGUAGUAGAAAGCUUGAAUAGACCGAUGGAUAGCUGUUAUGAGUAGCUAUAUAUCACCUGAGAUGAACAUGCAUUUCACGUUAUCACACCUUCUCAAAAGAAGUCCUAGAUAUUCCUUUGACUAUCAAUCUAAAUUUCUAGCAAUUUGACAGCAAGUCUCAGGCCUAGAACUCUAGAAAGAAUUAUGAAUGAGAAUCCAAUCAAUCGUUAAUCCCUUAGGAAAAGGAUAAUUUCCUAAUAUAGCCAACUCUAUCCGUGGAAGUUACACCAUUACCAAGAAGAUUCAAUUGUAAGGGCAACCAGAUUUUCGGCCAUUGUGUCGUUUAUCUUCAACGGUUACAUCAAUCCUCUUGAAGACUAUUCAAUGGCUAGUUUGGAGACUGAAGACUAUAUAGAUCAACACAUGCUGAAGAAGAUACAAUGACUACAAGCAUAGAAAACUUCAUACUCCGAUAUAUUCAUUUACUAAAAGUACUUGUCACUGAUUGUAAUCUCAUUUAAGAAGUGCACGAGGGUUACAGUAUUGCUUGUGAUUUGGUAGUAGGAUCUACUAGCUUCGAGUAGAAGCAGCACAAGCUACUGUUGUAGCUACUCCAAGGAUUACAAGAGAAGUCUAACCAUGUUGGUUGCUGUUAGUUUAGAAGAGUGGUUGCUUGAUUUUGAUAAUUACGCAAAAAAGAUUCAAAUUUCAAUAAUUAACCUGUCAACCCCCUCUAUGCCGCACUUUUAGCCGCAACAAUUGCCUAUAUUAACCAAGACGUUUAAGAACCUUGUGAUAAAAAGAAAGAACUUACAGGGAAAGAAGCAAACCAGAGAAUCCGAUGAAAGGAAGUUCUCCAAAGGCAAAUGGGGCAACGAAGGUAAGGAUUAUUUGCUUUGAGGGCUUGAAAUGUGGGCACAUCAAAUCCGAUUGUCCCUUGCUCAUCAAAUUGAAGAAAAAAUUAAAGAGAAACGAUGUCAUGAUAAUGAGAUCAAUGAACAAACAAAUCUCUGUUUAAUGGCCGACAUUCAAUCUUAGAAUUAAGGGGGACCAAGGAAAAAAGAAUCAAUCGUAUCUAAACGCACAAGGUCUUGUCCAAUCUUUGAAUCUAGACGAAGUCGCUAUCUCUUGUCAUGAUUAUCUAAUUUCGUCUCCAUGUACAUAACUAUGGCCUCUCUUUUGGUCAACCAAUCGCAUGAAUACGAAAGGGACGUGCAUAAAGAAACAGGGGCAGUGAAUUAUUGCAUGAUGUUUAUCACCUCGAGUUGAAGGUCGCAUGAAGUUUCUUCCACCUGUUAUCUUAUCAUUUUCACUGUCUCGAUUCACAUAAAUCUGGCCCUUUGUUUUAUCAACAGUCAGCUUGACGGAGACCUGUGCCAUCUAAAUUCAACUCACAACUCUAGGACAUGUAUUUUUUUUUUUUUUUAAGUAGGAAAAUUAAAUUAAACUCGUAUGAAUCCACUGAUAUUAUUGCACCCAAAUGUGCGAACCAAAGCUCAACAUGAUUCAGUCGAUAAGAACCAAGACGUUUAAGAACCUUGUGAUAAAAAGAAAGAACUUACAGGGAAAGAAGCAAACCAGAGAAUCCGAUGAAAGGAAGUUCUCCAAAGGCAAAGGGGACAACGAAGGUAAGGAUUAUUUGCUUUGAGGGCUUGAAAUGUGGGCACAUCAAAUCCGAUUGUCCCUUGCUCAUCAAAUUGAAGAAAAAAUUAAAGAGAAACGAUGUCCUGAUAAUGAGAUCAAUGAACAAACAAAUCUCUGUUUAAUGGCCGACAUUCAAUCUUAGAAUUAAGGGGGACCAAGGAAAAAAGAAUCAAUCGUAUCUAAACGCACAAGGUCUUGUCCAAUCUUUGAAUCUAGACGAAGUCGCUAUCUCUUGUCAUGAUUAUCUAAUUUCGUCUCCAUGUACAUAACUAUGGCAUCUCUUUUGGUCAACCAAUCGCAUGAAUACGAAAGGGACGUGCAUAAAGAAACAGGGGCAAUGAAUUAUUGCAUGAUGUUUAUCACCUCGAGUUGAAGGUCGCAUGAAGUUUCUUCCACCUGUUAUCUUAUCAUUUUCACUGUCUCGAUUCACAUAAAUCUAGCCCUUUGUUUUAUCAACAGUCAGCUUGACGGAGACCUGUGCCAUCUAAAUUCAACUCACAACUCUAGGACAUGUAUUUUUUUUUUUUUAAGUAGGAAAAUUAAAUUAAACUCGUAUGAAUCCACUGAUAUUAUUGUACCCAAAUGCGCGAACCAAAGCUCAACAUGAUUCAGUCGAUAAGAACCAAGACGUUUAAGAACCUUGUGAUAAAAAGAAAGAACUUACAGGGAAAGAAGCAAACCAGAGAAUCCGAUGAAAGGAAGUUCUCCAAAGGCAAAGGGGGCAACGAAGGUAAGGAUUAUUUACUUUGAGGGCUUGAAAUGUGGGCACAUCAAAUCCGAUUGUCCCUUGCUCAUCAAAUUGAAGAAAAAAUUAAAGAGAAACGAUGUCAUGAUAAUGAGAUCAAUGAACAAACAAAUCUCUGUUUAAUGGCCGACAUUCAAUCUUAGAAUUAAGGGGGACCAAGGAAAAAAGAAUCAAUCGUAUCUAAACGCACAAGGUCUUGUCCAAUCUUUGAAUCUAGACGAAGUCGCUAUCUCUUGUCAUGAUUAUCUAAUUUCGUCUCCAUGUACAUAACUAUGGCAUCUCUUUUGGUCAACCAAUCGCAUGAAUACGAAAGGGACGUGCAUAAAGAAACAUGGGCAAUGAAUUAUUGCAUGAUGUUUAUCACCUCGAGUUGAAGGUCGCAUGAAGUUUCUUCCACCUGUUAUCUUAUCAUUUUCACUUUCUCGAUUCACAUAAAUCUGGCCCUUUGUUUUAUCAACAGUCAGCUUGACGGAGACCUGUGCCAUCUAAAUUCAACUCACAACUCUAGGACAUGUAUUUUUUUUUUUUUUAAGUAGGAAAAUUAAAUUAAACUCGUAUGAAUCCACUGAUAUUAUUGUACCCAGAUGUGCGAACCAAAGCUCAACAUGAU
rnacentral:lncRNA from 1 species